AUUGAACGCUGGCGGCAUGCCUUACACAUGCAAGUCGAACGGUAACAGGUCUUCGGAUGCUGACGAGUGGCGAACGGGUGAGUAAUACAUCGGAACGUGCCUAGUAGUGGGGGAUAACUACUCGAAAGAGUGGCUAAUACCGCAUGAGAUCUACGGAUGAAAGCAGGGGAUCGCAAGACCUUGUGCUACUAGAGCGGCCGAUGGCAGAUUAGGUGAGUUGGUGGGAUAAAAGCUUACCAAGCCGACGAUCUGUAGCUGGUCUGAGAGGACGAUCAGCAACACUGGGACGGAGCCCCGGCCCAGACCCCUACGGGAGGCAGCAGUGGGGUAUUUUGUACAUGGGGCGCAACCCUGAUCCAGCAAUGCCGCUUGCAGAAUAAGGGCUUUCGUGUUGUAAACUGCUUUUUUAAGGAACAAAACGCCCUGGGUUAACCCCCUGGGGUCAUGACGUACCCGUAAGAAUAAGCCCCGGCUAACUCCGGGCCAGCCCCCUCCAUAA
rnacentral:rRNA from 1 species